UCUGCCACUGGCCUGCCGAACAGGGACUUCCCGCCCUGGGAGCCUCUCAGGCUGUUUGUGUCUGAGUGUGACUGAAAACCAUUUGGUAACAUCAGCUGGGGGUGCUUGUGAAAAGACAAGUUCCUGGGGUGCCUGGGUGGCUCAGUUGGUUAAGUGUCUGACUCUUGCUUUCAGCUCAGGUCACGAUGUCGCGGUUCACAGGAUCGAGCCCUGCGUCGGCUUCUGUGCUGACGGUGCGGAGCCUGCUUGGGGUUCUCUCUCCCUCUCUCUCUGCCUCUCCCCUGCUUGCAUAUGCUCUCGCUCUCUCUCUCAAAAUAAAUAAAUAAACUUUAAAGAAAAGAAAAAAGACAGGCUCCUGACCUCUUGACUCAGAAGUUAUCUGUCAGGGAAUGUGGAUUGUAACAAGUUUGGGGGGCCACUGCUACCCAGAGUGUGGACCUGAACCCACACGGGCUCCACUUGGGAGCUUGUUAGAAACGCAAAUUCACAGUCCUGUCCAGAACCCCCGCAUCAGCCCCUCUGGAGGUAGGGCCCGAGGUUCUGUGUGAUUCUCGAGCCCCACGCCUGCUGGACCGGGUAAAAGCAGUGUGUUCGUUUCUUCUUGCUGCUGUGACCAAUCACCACAAGCUUAGUGGCUUAAGACAACGCAAAUGUAUUCUCCUACAGUUCUGGGGGCCAGAAGCCUGCAAUCAGUUUCCCCGGGAUAAAGUCAAGGAGUCAGCAGGGUUGUGGUCCUUCCAGAGGCUCCAGGAGCAUCGGUUUCUUUGCCUGUUUUCAACUUCUCGUGGCUGCCUGUGUUUCUUGCCUGGGGGCGCCUUCCUCCAUCUUCAAAGCCUGCCUCUGCUUCUGCCGCCGCAUCUGUCUCCUUCUCUGAGUCUGCCUCCUCCGCCUCCCUCUUACAAGGACGCUGGUGAUGACACUGAACCCACCAGGAUAAUCCAGGAUAAUCUCCCGUCUCAAGAUCCUCGACCUGAUCACGUGUGCAGAGUCCUUUUUGCCAUACUUCCUACCUAAACACAGAUCUCCAGAGACAGAGGAGUGGAAGAAGAGGCAAUAAAUCAUCCACAUUUGGGCAGGAUCAUCUUGCAAAUAACGACAUACCAGUCAACCAAGAGGCUAAGUCCGUCAGUUGAGGCUGUGAAAUCCACUGCAGAAUGUCUUAAUUGAAAGAAAAAAAAUAAUAAACAUUUUCAGGAAACGAGCCCCGCGUUGACAGGAAACAGGACUGUUCCAUGUGUUGGACAAACGUCCCUUCUGAAGAAAAGUGCUGGUCCUUCCACUACUGACACAUCUAUGCAGGCUGACUUAAACCAAUAGCUGAGCUUCUGGGGAAAAGUGGGGACACUGUCUUCUGAAGGCCCCUGCCACGUAAAGGAUUUUCUGCUGUGAGUGUGUGUUAUUCUUAUGGCGGGGAAAAAACGAGCUUUGAAGGACCGUGCUUCUGUGUUGAAUGUAGCGUCUACACAGGCAUCUACUUUGAAGAGCUCUGAGAAUAUGCUCCAGGGAGUGAAGUGAGGAAUAACACAACCAUCCUGGCACUGGCCUCCCUGCUUCUACCCUUGACUCCCUCCAGCUGGUGCUCUGCACGGCAACCAGAGCUUGAAACAUCUCAUGAAGCACUCGCAACAGAAAACAGAAAGAAAAAUGAUACAUGCAGGGAAGCAGAAACGUCAGACAAAGUGAGUUAUUAUAAAUGCGACUACAGUGGGCAGAGGAUGUGAGUCAAUAAUGGGAGGAAACGGCCACGGCCGUCCUCCAUCUUGAAUAGCCCAGAUCCUGACUGGCCUGAC